UUUACACAUGCAAGUCGAACGGUAACGCGGAGAGAAGCUUGCUUCUCUCCGGCGACGAGUGGCGAACGGGUGAGUAAUACAUCGGAACGUGUCCGCUCGUGGGGGACAACCAGCCGAAAGGUUGGCUAAUACCGCAUGAGUUCUACGGAAGAAAGAGGGGGACCCGCAAGGGCCUCUCGCGAGCGGAGCGGCCGAUGACUGAUUAGCCGGUUGGUGAGGUAACGGCUCACCAAAGCAACGAUCAGUAGCUGGUCUGAGAGGACGACCAGCCACACUGGGACUGAGACACGGCCCAGACUCCUACGGGAGGCAGCAGUGGGGAAUUUUGGACAAUGGGCGCAAGCCUGAUCCAGCUAUUCCGCGUGUGGGAUGAAGGCCCUCGGGUUGUAAACCACUUUUGUAGAGAACGAAAAGACACCUUCGAAUAAAGGGUGUUGCUGACGGUACUCUAAGAAUAAGCACCGGCUAACUACGUGCCAGCAGCCGCGGUAAUACGUAGGGUGCGAGCGUUAAUCGGAAUUACUGGGCGUAAAGGGUGCGCAGGCGGUUGAGUAAGACAGAUGUGAAUCCCCGAGCUUAACUCGGGAAUGGCAUAUGUGACUGCUCGACUAGAGUGUGUCAGAGGGAGGUGGAAUUCCACGUGUAGCAGUGAAAUGCGUAGAUAUGUGGAAGAACACCGAUGGCGAAGGCAGCCUCCUGGGACAUAAC
rnacentral:rRNA from 1 species